GACGAACCGUCCAAACGUUGUUCGGAAUCACUGGGCUUAAAGGGCGCGUAGGCGGGCUAUCAAGUCCGGGGUGAAAUCCUCCAGCUUAACUGGAGAACGGCCUCGGAUACUGAUGGUCUCGAGGGGGGUAGGGGCACGCGGAACUGUGGGUGGAGCGGUGAAAUGCGUUGAUAUCCAUAGGAACUCCGGUGGCGAAGGCGGCGUGCUGGACCUCUUCUGACGCUGAGGCGCGAAAGCCAGGGGAGCAAAUGGG
rnacentral:rRNA from 1 species